UUGUCCAAGCCCUACACGAUAGCAAUCAAGAUUCCCCCGUGGUUGCCUUUUGUGGGGUGCGCCGGAACAUGUUUCCGCAGAAGCAUUCGUUGGUUGUCAUCGAUUGCUUCGAUGACACCUUUAUUGAUUUUUCACCGGUAUGCCGCCAAGCGCAAGAAAUUCAAGAUUACUUGAUCAGGACUAAAAAGGAGCAAGAUACAGUUGCCAUUCCUGAGAAUUCAGAGGAUAAAUCAAGAAAAUGAAAAAAGGAAAAUUGUUAAUGGCACACCAAGAUACAAUUUCAUUUAAUAAAUCGAAGUCCUCAUUCCACAA